rnacentral:rRNA from 1 species
GACGAACGCUGGCGGCGUGCUUAACACAUGCAAGUCGAACGGAAAGGCCCUGCUUUUGUGGGGUGCUCGAGUGGCGAACGGGUGAGUAGCACGUGAGUAACCUGCCCUUGACUUUGGGAUAACUUCAGGAAACUGGGGCUAAUACCGGAUAGGAGCUCCUGCUGCAUGGUGGGGGUUGGAAAGUUUCGGCGGUUGGGGAUGGACUCGCGGCUUAUCAGCUUGUUGGUGGGGUAGUGGCUUACCAAGGCUUUGACGGGUAGCCGGCCUGAGAGGGUGACCGGCCACAUUGGGACUGAGAUACGGCCCAGACUCCUACGGGAGGCAGCAGUGGGGAAUAUUGCACAAUGGGCGGAAGCCUGAUGCAGCAACGCCGCGUGCGGGAUGACGGCCUUCGGGUUGUAAACCGCUUUCGACUGUGACGAAGCGUGAGUGACGGUAAUGGGUAAAGAAGCACCGGCUAACUACGUG